rnacentral:lncRNA from 1 species
UCAAAAAGAUUUAUCCCUAUUCAUGCGAAAUUUAGAUCUCUAAACAUCCGCAUAUAAUUUUUUUGGGCUUCGUCACCACCUCCUUCUCCGGCAAAAUCCUACAGUGACACAUCUCCACUUCCUCGUCCUCUUCGCCAUCCAACUCUUUUUUUGAAAAAAUUCCACAAAUUCUAUUCUUCAUUGUCCUCACUGUCUCCUUCUGUGGCGAAAUUCUAUGGCGGCAUAUCCCCCCGUCCUCGUCGCCUUUCCUUCUUCUCAAAUUUUGCUGAUCCCUCUCUUCCUCUUCUUCAUCAUCUUUUAUGGUGACACUCUAAUUGAAGUCAGUCUUAGUUAUCUUCAAAGUAUAUGAUUCUGAUUGCAACGCGAAUGUGACCUUUGAUGAUAUAAUGGAAGUGCUUCGGGAUCUAACUAGAUCAUUCAUUUCUGACAAGCAAAGAGAGGUACCUUACAUAUUUUAUCCCUUUCACUCCUUUUUUUCUGAUAUAAAGUUUUAUUUAGAAAACCAGAAUACAGAAAGUUUUCAAUUUGUACAAGAUACGAAAAUCAUCGGCGGUAGAUCAUUUUAAUUUUUUAGUGCACCAGCACUAUGGAUGAUGCAAAGGAGGAGAAAUCUAAUCUUUUUUAAUUGUAUCAUUGAGUUUGCAUCAAUGUAGAAAUUUUAAGGUUGUAUAAUUGAAUUUGUAUACAUUUAUACAUUUUGAAUUUGUAUAUUUAUACAUAUAAAAUAUAUUCUGGAUAUGUAUAUGUUUUAUGUCUUCAUUUUUUAUUCUGGAUAUGGAGUGUUUCAUACAUUAUCUUAAUUUUUUAGUGCA